rnacentral:rRNA from 1 species
UACGAAGGGGGCUAGCGUUGUUCGGAAUUACUGGGCGUAAAGCGCACGUAGGCGGAUAUUUAAGUCAGGGGUGAAAUCCCGGGGCUCAACCCCGGAACUGCCUUUGAUACUGGGUAUCUAGAGUAUGGUAGAGGUAAGUGGAAUUCCGAGUGUAGAGGUGAAAUUCGUAGAUAUUCGGAGGAACACCAGUGGCGAAGGCGGCUUACUGGACCAUUACUGACGCUGAGGCGCGAAAGCGUGGGGAGCAAACAGG